UGGGGAAUUGUUCGCAAUGGGCGCAAGCCUGACGACGCAACGCCGCGUGGAGGAUGAAGAUCUUCGGGUCGUAAACUCCUUUCGAUCGAGACGAACGGCCAUCGGGAUAACACCCUGAUGGAGUGACGGUACCGAGAGAAGAAGCCCCGGCUAACUCCGUGCCAGCAGCCGCGGUAAUACGGGGGGGGCAAGCGUUGUUCGGAAUUACUGGGCGUAAAGGGCUCGUAGGCGGCCAACUAAGUCAUACGUGAAAUCCCUCGGCUUAACCGGGGAACUGCGUCUGAUACUGGAUGGCUUGAGUUCGGGAGAGGGAUGCGGAAUUCCAGGUGUAGCGGUGAAAUGCGUAGAUAUCUGGAGGAACACCGGUGGCGAAGGCGGCAUCCUGGACCGAUACUGACGCUGAGGAGCGAAAGCCAGGGGAGCAAACGGGAUUAGAUACCCCGGUAGUCCUGGCCCUAAACGAUGAAUGCUUGGUGUGGCGGGUAUCGAUCCCUGCCGUGCCGAAGCUAACGCAUUAAGCAUUCCGCCUGGGGAGUACGGUCGCAAGGCUGA
rnacentral:rRNA from 1 species